GAUGAACGCUGGCGGCGUGCCUAAUACAUGCAAGUCGAGCGAACGGACGAGAAGCUUGCUUCUCUGAUGUUAGCGGCGGACGGGUGAGUAACACGUGGAUAACCUACCUAUAAGACUGGGAUAACUUCGGGAAACCGGAGCUAAUACCGGAUAAUAUUUUGAACCGCAUGGUUCAAAAGUGAAAGACGGUCUUGCUGUCACUUAUAGAUGGAUCCGCGCUGCAUUAGCUAGUUGGUAAGGUAACGGCUUACCAAGGCAACGAUGCAUAGCCGACCUGAGAGGGUGAUCGGCCACACUGGAACUGAGACACGGUCCAGACUCCUACGGGAGGCAGCAGUAGGGAAUCUUCCGCAAUGGGCGAAAGCCUGACGGAGCAACGCCGCGUGAGUGAUGAAGGUCUUCGGAUCGUAAAACUCUGUUAUUAGGGAAGAACAUAUGUGUAAGUAACUGUGCACAUCUUGACGGUACCUAAUCAGAAAGCCACGGCUAACUACGUGCCAGCAGCCGCGGUAAUACGUAGGUGGCAAGCGUUAUCCGGAAUUAUUGGGCGUAAAGCGCGCGUAGGCGGUUUUUUAAGUCUGAUGUGAAAGCCCACGGCUCAACCGUGGAGGGUCAUUGGAAACUGGAAAACUUGAGUGCAGAAGAGGAAAGUGGAAUUCCAUGUGUAGCGGUGAAAUGCGCAGAGAUAUGGAGGAACACCAGUGGCGAAGGCGACUUUCUGGUCUGUAACUGACGCUGAUGUGCGAAAGCGUGGGGAUCAAACAGGAUUAGAUACCCUGGUAGUCCACGCCGUAAACGAUGAGUGCUAAGUGUUAGGGGGUUUCCGCCCCUUAGUGCUGCAGCUAACGCAUUAAGCACUCCGCCUGGGGAGUACGACCGCAAGGUUGAAACUCAAAGGAAUUGACGGGGACCCGCACAAGCGGUGGAGCAUGUGGUUUAAUUCGAAGCAACGCGAAGAACCUUACCAAAUCUUGACAUCCUUUGACAACUCUAGAGAUAGAGCCUUCCCCUUCGGGGGACAAAGUGACAGGUGGUGCAUGGUUGUCGUCAGCUCGUGUCGUGAGGUGUUGGGUUAAGUCCCGCAACGAGCGCAACCCUUAAGCUUGGUUGCCAUCAUUAAGUUGGGCACUCUAAGUUGACUGCCGGUGACAAACCGGAGGAAGGUGGGGAUGACGUCAAAUCAUCAUGCCCCUUAUGAUUUGGGCUACACACGUGCUACAAUGGACAAUACAAAGGGCAGCGAAACCGCGAGGUCAAGCAAAUCCCAUAAAGUUGUUCUCAGUUCGGAUUGUAGUCUGCAACUCGACUACAUGAAGCUGGAAUCGCUAGUAAUCGUAGAUCAGCAUGCUACGGUGAAUACGUUCCCGGGUCU
rnacentral:rRNA from 1 species